rnacentral:misc_RNA from 1 species
CCGAGUUUACAACUCCCAAACCCCUGUGAACAUACACUAUACGUUGCCUCGGCGGAUCAGCCCGCUCCCGGUAAAACGGGACGGCCCGCCAGAGGACCCCUAAACUCUGUUUUAUAUGUAACUUCUGAGUAAAACCAUAAAUAAAUCA